UGUUCUGUGGCUUAAUUGGUUGGACCGCCGGUCUAGCGAAUACGGAGUCGUGGGUUCGAAUCCCACCAGAACGC
rnacentral:tRNA from 1 species